GAAGGUAUAGCUCAGUGGUAGAGUGUGUGCUUAGCAUACACGAGGUCCUGGGUUUGAUUCCCCAGUCCCUCUA
rnacentral:tRNA from 1 species